rnacentral:rRNA from 1 species
CCUACGGGAGGCAGCAGUGGGGAAUCUUGCGCAAUGGGCGAAAGCCUGACGCAGCAACGCCGCGUGUGGGAAGACGGCCUUCGGGUUGUAAACCACUUUCAGUUGGGACGAAGCUUCCAGGGUUAAUAGCCCCUAGCUUGACGGUACCUUUCGAGAAAGCCCCGGCUAACUACGUGCCAGCAGCCGCGGUAAUACGUAGGGGGCGAGCGUUGUCCGGAAUUAUUGGGCGUAAAGAGCGCGUAGGCGGUUCGGUAAGUCUGCUGUGAAAUCCUGGGGCUCAACCCUGGGCGUGCAGCGGAUACUGCCGGGCUAGAGGGUGGUAGAGGCGAGUGGAAUUCCGAGUGUAGCGGUGAAAUGCGCAGAUAUUCGGAGGAACACCAGUAGCGAAGGCGGCUCGCUGGGCCACACCUGACGCUGAGACGCGAAAGCGUGGGGAGCGAACAGGAUUAGAUACCCUGGUAGUCCACGCCGUAAACGAUGGAUACUGGGUGUGGGGGGAGUCGAAUCCCUCUGUGCCGAAGUUAACGCGUUAAGUAUCCCGCCUGGGGAGUACGGCCGCAAGGCUAAAACUCAAAAGAAUUGACGGGGGCCCGCACAAGCAGCGGAGCAUGUUCUUUAAUUCGAUGCAACGCGAAGAACCUUACCUGGACUUGACAUGGGGCUGCAAGCGCACGGAAACGUGUGACCUUCGAGGGUGCCUCACAGAUGCUGCAUGGCUGUCGUCAGCUCGUGUCGUGAGAUGUUGGGUUAAGUCCCGCAACGAGCGCAACCCCUGUGGUGUGUUGCCAGCAUUAAGUUGGGGACUCACACCAGACUGCCGGUGACAAACCGGAGGAAUGGGGGGGACGACGUCAAGUCAUCAUGGCUCUUACGUCCAGGGCUAGAAACGUGCUACAUGGCUGAUACAAGGGUUGCAGACCGCGGGUGGAGCGAAUCCCAUCAAGUCAGUCUAAGUUCGGAUCGCAGUCUGCACUCGACAGCGUGAAGCGAGUUGCUAGUAUCGCGGAUCAGACGCCCGCGGUGAUACGUUCCCGGG